GAUGAACGCUGGCGGCGUGCUUAACACAUGCAAGUCGAACGGACUUAUGAUGAAACCUAGUGAUUCGUAAGUUAGUGGCGGACGGGUGAGUAACGCGUGGAUAACCUGCCUUACACUGGGGGAUAACACUUAGAAAUAGGUGCUAAUACCGCAUAAGCGCACAGGACCGCAUGGUCUGGUGUGAAAAACUCCGGUGGUGUAAGAUGGAUCCGCGUCUGAUUAGCUAGUUGGUGAGGUAACGGCUCACCAAGGCGACGAUCAGUAGCCGGCCUGAGAGGGUGAACGGCCACAUUGGGACUGGGACACGGCCCAAACUCCUACGGGAGGCAGCAGUGGGGAAUAUUGCACAAUGGGCGAAAGCCUGAUGCAGCGACGCCGCGUGAGUGAAGAAGUAUUUCGGUAUGUAAAGCUCUAUCGGCAUGGAAGAAAAUGACGGUACUUGACUAAGAAGCCCCGGCUAACUACGUGCCAGCAGCCGCGGUAA
rnacentral:rRNA from 1 species